UAGAGUUUGAUCCUGGCUCAGGAUGAACGCUGACAGAAUGCUUAACACAUGCAAGUCUACUUAAUUUAAAGCUUCGGUUUUAAUGAUGGUGGCGGACGGGUGAGUAACGCGUAAAGAAUCUGCCCUUUAGUCUGGGAUAACAGUUGGAAACGACUGAUAAUACCGGAUAUUAUGAGAUGAUCGCAUGAUCGACUUAUGAAAGCUAUAUGCGCUAGAGGAGGACUUUGCGUCCCAUUAGCUAGUUGGUGAGGUAACGGCUCACCAAGGCGACGAUGGGUAGCCGGCCUGAGAGGGUGAACGGCCACAAGGGGACUGAGACACGGCCCUUACUCCUACGGGAGGCAGCAGUGGGGAAUAUUGGACAAUGGGCCACAAGCCUGAUCCAGCAAUUCUGUGUGCACGAUGAAGGUCUUAGGAUUGUAAAGUGCUUUCAGUGGGGAAGAAGUCAGUGACGGUACCCACAGAAGAAGCGACGGCUAAAUAUGUGCCAGCAGCCGCGGUAAU
rnacentral:rRNA from 1 species